rnacentral:lncRNA from 1 species
GUUUUUCCUGUGGGUGGUAGUAUUUAGAAAGUGUCCCGCCUUGCUUGCUGCUUUCAGAUUGCAAUCACCGUGCGGGGAUGGGAUGCGGAGCCUGGCGUCUCAGGCGUUGCCCGUUCCAGCUGGCUCGCACCCAGGGAUCAGGCGGGCAACGGCAAGAAACCAGGAGGGAGGAUGGCUUUGUGGCUGGGCUAAUAACCACUUUGCUUGGGGGAGGGGAGCGAGGGGAAGAGAUGGGGACAGAGUGAAAAAGUUGUAAGGCUCGCCCCUAGCAGGAAUUCCUUUAAAUAGGAAGGAAGUGAUCAGGGAGCAGACCUCGGUCAUGCUUUUCUGAUUCAUUUUCAUGUUUUUAGCCUCGAUACCCUUCCAGUCUUUUGCUGCCUGUAGCAUUACUGUCCCAAUUUAUUUCUGUAGAUAGCUGUCAUGAGAACUUUCCUCUCUAAAAACAAUGAAAAAAUUAAUGUAACACAUUAAGUUUUGAAAUGCAUUAAAAACACUGAGAAAGUUAACUUCUUUUUAUAUAUUUCUAUAUAUAUAUAUACAUAUAUCUGUGCGUGUGUGUGUGUGUGUAUGUAUAUAUGUGUGUAUAUUUUAUAUAUAUUAAAAAUAUAUUUAAAAAAUAAUAUAUAUAUUAUUUUUUAAAUAUAUUUUUAAUAUAUAUAAAAUAUACACACAUAUAUACAUACACACACACACACACGCACAGAUAUAUGUAUAUAUAAAAGCAACAACACUCAAGUCAUUUAGGACCUGGAUGACUGAGGUUUGGGCUUGCUUCCCUCCCUUGCUUUGGAAGAAGGAAGACCUGCAGAGGAGAAAUGCUCUGAAAGCCUGCAGGAGCCACAGGAGAGCAAGAGAAAACGUCGAGUGGUCCACGAGGAAGGCCUGCUGGCUUGGGGUUACUCUGCUGCUUCUGAAGACACAUGCAGCUGUAGUGGGCAGAGUGCCUUUUCAUCAAACGAAGAUGAUCCUAGUUCUGUCUGCUGAGCAUCACAUUAGUCCAUAUCUUUGCCCAGUUCAGACUAGAGUAUGGAAGUGCAGUUGUAGUGAACAUAUAUUUACGGAAACAUAA